AGUAUUCUUCAAGAGAGAAUGGAACCGUAACUGGCCUUUCCUCGUUGGCUUUGCCAUCACUGGCGCUCUCAUCACCAAAUUCUCUCUCAGCCUCACCGAGGAGGAUGCGAAGAAUUCUCCUUUCGUGCAAAGGCACAAAAAGCACUGAUGCUAAACGAACCCUGUCUAAGAUGAGCGGCCUUCUGGUGAAUUUGGAAAUGUGCUCUCCAGGUGCCAGAUCAAUGCUUAUUAUGAAGGGCAUUUAGCUUUGUUUGAGUUCAUCUUUCUCCUCUUAUUGUUUUGCAGAGUUUUUGUUUCAGUCACUUUGUGGUUAUAUAUACUGAUGACUUUUGGGUAAAAGAAAGGCUUUGUCUAGUUAUAAUUCACUGCAUGCUACUGCUGUUAGCCUCUGCAAUGUAACACUUUUAAGUGUGAAAAUAAAUGCACCAUUUGAAAAUUAUUAUUGUUUCCAUGGUUUUGUUCCAUAAAAAAAGGUUCAACUUUGGUGGUUGAUUCAGCUGUCGCUGCUGAAGGAAAUGCAUUCAAGUGCAUCGUUGAGAAAUUGCUUAGCUUUAUGGUGAACUUAUCAAUUUCAUCCAAAUUUCUCAUUCUAGGACCGUUAGACUGCAACAUGAUUUUGCCAACUCUAGAUGCUGCGACAAAAAACGACAGCAUCGAUGCUGUUGAAACUUCUGAUAGGCCAUGAAGAUAUUUUCCGGCAGUCAAUGAAUAUCAAUUAGUUAGCAGCAAAUCGAAGAGUAGUGGAUAUAUCCAAACCGUGCUUGCAAACUUGUGCUUGGAUAUUAAUACUCAAUAUAUUUUUGGUAUCUCACUGCACUUCAGACAUUCAUUGCAUGCAGAUUGUUAAGAAGUUUCCAUUCCACCUGUUAAAGAUUUCCAGAUGUUGACGGGUGUAUACCGAAAUCAUAGAAAAUAUUAUAGAGAUGUAAAUUGUUAUAAUCCAUCUUCUAUCA